rnacentral:misc_RNA from 1 species
GAUGAAGAACGCAGCAAAAUGCGAUAAGUAAUGUGAAUUGCAGAAUUCAGUCAAUCAUCGAAUCUUUGAACGCACAUUGCGCCCGCCAGUAUUCUGGCGGGCAUGCCUGUUCGAGCGUCAUUUCAACCCUCAAGCACAGCUUGGUGUUGGGACUCGCGUUAAUUCGCGUUCCCCAAAUUGAUUGGCGGUCACGUCGAGCUUCCAUAGCGUAGUAGUAAAACCCUCGUUACUGGUAAUCGUCGCGGCCACGCCGUUAAACCCCAACUUCUGAAUGUUGACCUCGGAUCAGGUAGGAAUACCCGCUGAACUUAAGCAUAUCAAUAAGCGGAGGA